UACGGAGGGUGCAAGCGUUAAUCGGAAUUACUGGGCGUAAAGCGCACGCAGGUGGCUGAGUCAGUCGAUUGUGAAAGCCCUGGGCUUAACCUGGGAAUUGCAGUCGAUACUACUCAGCUAGAGUAUGGGAGAGGGUAGUGGAAUUCCCGGUGUAGCGGUGAAAUGCAUAGAUAUCGGGAGGAACAUCAGUGGCGAAGGCGGCUACCUGGCCCAAUACUGACACUCAGGUGCGACAGCGUGGGGAGCAAACAGG
rnacentral:rRNA from 1 species